CUGCAACUAGUGUGGUGGUUUCAAAUAACCGAAAUUGGGGGCACAGCUUUUCUGAAAAUAGAAAUAAAAAAGAAAUGUGGACGUGACGCAGAAUAUUCAGGAGAAGAAAUUAAAAAAAAUACGAGGCAUCUAUAGGAACUCUCAGAGAAGAGAAAACCUAAGACAUAGAGAAGCAGAGAGAACGCGGACGGCUUUAUAAGCAGAAUAUGGACCCGCCGGAACCUGCGUGGGCGUCGCCGGAGAAUAUGAGCGACGGGGAACCGCCUGCGGCCCGCCGCCAUCCUCCUCCUCCAGUCCUCCGCCGGCUGUGGGCAUCUGUCGGCCUGAGCCCUCAAAAUGGGCCUCCAAAAUAGAUGGGC
rnacentral:lncRNA from 1 species